GAUUUCUCGCCUGCCAAUUUCUAUGUUCUUCUCCACAACCAUCUCUAUUUAUAGACCACAGAUAGAGAAGGCUGAGCUCAUGGCUGAGCUGCUCAUGGCUGCCUCCAUGGUUGACCAUGGAGGAGGGAAGGAGCGCCUCCGUAUUCAACUCUUCGGUUUUGGCGCCUCCUUUCUGGACAGAGCAUCUCUUCCUUUCCAUUUCUCUUCUCCUAGGAAUGGGUUAUGGGCUUGGGCUUGGGUUUAUCAUUGGGUGGGCCUCCCACCUUGGGCUUGCGGCUUUUGAUCCUAUGGGCUUCAAUUGGGGCUGGAAUUCUAAACAAUCUCCUCCUCCAGCCAAUUGGAUGGUACUUGAUCCAGCUCCCCCGUAAUAUCUGCAAGACUGCAUCCGAAGAUUCUUGCCCUCAUCAAUGGGCAAUGCACUUCCAGACUGAAGUGCUGCCACCUUCUCUCUUAGGUGCCUUGCUCACCAUCACCGGAGAGCUCACAAAAGUACAUCACUUUGCGAGUCGUCGUGGCUCCCUCUAUUCUCUCGUGUGUACACAUCUGAAGACGAUCAUUGCAUAAUCAAAUCGAGAGCAAAAAAAGAGACUCUUUUGGCGGACGUCGCGCCUGUCGAUUUACAAAACUCUUCAGAAUCGGACUUUGUCUCCUUUUCUCUGGACUUUCUAUGGACUCCUGCACUGGCUGCACUGGUCUUUUCUGGUCAGACUUCCGCACGGUCUCAAAGCCUCUCCUUGCGCUCUUGUAACAUCUGUGGCUCCUCCAGGGUCCCUGCGACUUGCUUUGGUGCCUGUGUGCACCUGUUGCUUCCCUUGUCCAUUCUUCCGUCUAUAUAACUGGACCCAUGUCGGACACGCUCUUCCUGUCUGGGACAUUUCCCAUCCAGGCGAUCUAGUCCUUGAUCUCCUUCCUCUCAGCAUCUCUUUGUUCCUUGGAACUUCUCAAGGAUUCCUCCCUUAGCGCAAAUGCUUUGCAACCCAUUGAUCUAGCAUUCCGAUGGAAACAAUUCUUCCGUAGUUUGGGAAAAUGCCUUACCUCGGUCAACGUCACCGACCUCCCGUCUGCCAUCGGAACCGGAUGUUCCAGUGCCAACAACUUUGUUGUCGUGUGUUUGCCACAGUAACAAGGCCCUCGCAUGCUUUGCGUAUGUAGAGAACAUCUUCUGUCUCUACAGAAAUGGUAGGCACUCUGAAUCAAUACCCAGUCGGAAUUCUCAUCGGCCGAGGAUUACUAGGAAUGCCAUCAUUAUCUGAAAUCUGUCAUCACUGAGGCCGAUGUUGAUGCUGUGAUGCUGUCUUGAAGGACUGCAUAUGUGUUUUAUAAUUUGGGCACUUCCUCUUCAUAGUGCCCUUCUUGGUCACAGAAAAAACACUUAAAACUGCGACCCCUUGAUUGGACCUCGGCCGUCCUCUCCAUUAUUCCUUUGUGGUGACCUCGACCUCUUUCCCUGAUUCCGUCUGAGAUUAGGGCCUACGCCUCACUUCGCUUGUUCAUGCCCAUCUCUUUCUUUCGUGCCUCUUCGUUGACAGGGCAUCCUCGACAUACUCAAAGUCAACUUCCCAUCCUGCGCGGAAUUACUGAGAGAAACCACACUGUAUCCCACAUUUUGUUGUAAGAACUCAGGAAGCAGUAGAGGCCUGCAUUCAUCGUCAAAAUGGAGAGGGUAUAUACUGGCCAACGGUUGACCCCAAAUUCUGGAACUCGCUCGUUGUUUCCGCCACCGUCCCUCUAUUAGUUUCAGAUUCACAAGCCUCCUCUCAAUAAGGCUUGUUCCGGAGAUGUCUUUCGAUUGGACAUCUCUCCAUUUGGUCCAUAGAUCGUAAGCACUAGUCUCUUGUGCUAAGUGGUGGGGAACAACUCGGUCCCAAUGCACUGUCUGAUUAGCCCGAUUGUUUUUCUGAUUCAUCUUCGUCCAAUCCUCCUCAUCCUUCCUUCUCUGCCGGUUUUUCUCCUUUAUUCUCUAAAGAUCAUGCAAAUUUUGCAGAAUCGGAGUCUUUCCAUCCUCGGUUUCCAUAGAGCGUAAAUUUGUGCGGAAAUUGAAAGCAUAAUCAUAGCUCCAAAAUAGACUCCGCCAUAUUACUCUCUAUAAUAGAAGCAAAAUCUUUAAGAAAACCGCCCCGCGGAUUGGAUCCGGAACGCCGAGAAAACUCAGAUAGGCUUUUCCGUCGAAAAAAUCAGACUCUUUGGGACCCAAAUGAUCAAAUCAAAACUUCAAGGACAUAAUUGAAAUUUUCAAUUUCCAGGGACCCAAUUACAAUUUCCAAAACUCCAGGGGCGAAAAAUUGCAAUUUUCCAACUUCAGGGACAAAUUGAAAAUAUCAGACAAUCCAGGGACUAAAAGUGUAUUUUGACUUUUUGGUCAACGGUCAAGUUUGGACCGGUCAACGGUCAAAAAAGGGGGGGAAGGACAGAAUCAAAAGGCGGCUCGGCUGGUCAACGCGGUCAAGCGACCUCAGAGUUGCCGGCUAGCGGCUCGGUUAAACGUCAACGGCUCUGGGUUGACCGGAUCGGCGCGGAGGGAAAUGGCGCGGUUGGGCGCGGCUCGGGGGGGGACAGAAGGAGAGGUAGAGAAACAGAAGGCAGAGGAAAGGAGAAAGAGAGGAGAGGUAGGGGAGGAGGGGGAAGAGGAGGGGAAGAGAAGGAAGAAAGAGCAAAGACAGGGGAAGGAGCGUGUGAGGGCGAGGGAGGAUGGGGGGCUUGAGAGGGGUGGACGAAAAGAGCGUGGAGCGUGCUUGAGGAAGGUCUGAGGGCGCGUGAGGCACCUGGAGAGUGCGGAGCGCGUGAGGCCACCUGAGCGCGCGUCAGGCCCUCUCUGGGCGCGUGCGGGCGCGUGGGGGGCGACUUCCCGGGCGCGUGGCGGCGCGUGGAGCGUGAACCUCAGUCGUCUUCAACCUCCGCGCGCGAUGUGUGUGCGCGGGAUCUGACGCUCCGACUUUCAAUUGCGCCGUGAGGGCUCGUUUGGAGUCCGAUUUUGACUCGUUUGGUGCUGGAGCUUCGUACGAAGAGACGAAGAGACAAGGUGAUGUAUGCUCAAAUCUGCAGUUUUGAGCAAUUCGAAUGGGUCAGAAAUUCGAAGAUGUACUCUGGUGGCACUUCCGGUGAAUCUCGGUGACUCGAUUUGGCCUUUGUACAAUUGUGGUG
rnacentral:lncRNA from 1 species